AUUGAACGCUGGCGGCAGGCCUAACACAUGCAAGUCGAGCGGAUGAAGGGAGCUUGCUCCUGGAUUCAGCGGCGGACGGGUGAGUAAUGCCUAUGAAUCUGCCUGGUAUUGGUGGAUAACGUCCUGAAACGGGCGCUAAUACCGCAUACGUCCUGAGGGAGAAAGUGGGGGAUCUUCGGACCUCACGCUAUCAUAUGAGCCUAGGUCGGAUUAGCUAGUUGGUGGGGUAAAGGCCUACCAAGGCGACGAUCCGUAACUGGUCUGAGAGGAUGAUCAGUCACACUGGAACUGAGACACGGUCCAGACUCCUAGGGGAGGCAGCAGUGGGGAAUAUUGGAAAAUGGGCGAAAGACUGAUCCAGCCAUGCAGCGUGUGUGAAGAAGGUCUUCGGAUUGUAAAGCACUUUAAGUUGGGAGGAAGGGAAGUAAGUUAAUACCUUGCUGUUUUGACGUUACCAACAGAAUAAGCACCGGCUAACUUCGU
rnacentral:rRNA from 1 species